rnacentral:rRNA from 1 species
CGGGUGAGUAACACGUGGGUGACUUGCCCCGAAGAUGGGGAUAACCUCUGGAGACGGGGGCUAAUACCCAAUGUGCUCUGUGAUUCUGUUCAUCGAGUAAAGCUCCGGCGCUUCGGGAGAGGCCUGCGGUCCAUCAGCUAGUUGGUAGGGUAACGGCCUACCAAGGCAGAGACGGGUAGGGGGCGUGAGAGCGCGGACCCCCACACUGGCACUGAGAUACUGGCCAGACUCCUACGGGAGGCAGCAGUAAGGGAUAUUGCGCAAUGGACGAAAGUCAGACGCAGCGACGCCGCGUGGGCGAUGAAGGCCUUCGGGUUGUAAAGCCCUUUUAUGGGGGAAGAGAAAAAGGACGGUACCCCAGGAAUAAGUCCCGGCUAACUACGUGCCAGCAGCCGCGGUAAAACGUAGGGGACAAGCGUUAUCCGGAUUCACUGGGCGUAAAGAGCGUUGAGGCGGUUCCGUAAGUUGGGCGUGAAAGCUCCGGGCUUAACUCGGAGAUGUCGCUCAAUACUGCGGGGCUUGAGGACAGCAGAGGAAGGUGGAAUUCCCGGUGUAGUGGUGAAAUGCGUAGAUAUCGGGAGGAACACCCGUGGCGAAGGCGGCCUUCUGGGCUGUUCCGGACGCUGAAGCAGAAAGCUAGGGGAGCGAACGGGAUUAGAUACCCCGGUAGUCCUAGCUGUAAACGAUUGACGAUGGGUAUGGGGGGUGUAAACUCCCUCUGAGCCGAAGCAAACGCGUUAAGCAUCCCGCCUGGGGACUACGGCCGCAAGGCUAAAACUCAAACGAAUUGACGGGGGCCCGCACAAGCAGCGGAGCGUGUGGUUUAAUUCGAUGCUACACGAAGAACCUUACCUGGGUUUGACAUGCACGUGGUAGGGAACCGAAAGGGGACCGACGUUCGGGAGCGUGCACAGGUGCUGCAUGGCUGUCGUCAGCUCGUCCCGUGAGAUGUCGGGUUAAGUCCCGUAACGAGCGCAACCCUUGCCAUUAGUUACGAGUGUCUAAGGGGACUGCCCGGUACAACUCGGAGGAGGGUGGGGAUGACGUCAAGUCAGCAUGGCCUUUAUAUCCAGGGUUACACACACGUUACAAUGGCCGGUACAAUAGAUUGCGAA